GACGAACGCUGGCGGCGUGCUUAACACAUGCAAGUCGAACGGAAAGGCCCUGCUUUUGUGGGGUGCUCGAGUGGCGAACGGGUGAGUAACACGUGAGUAACCUGCCCUUGACUUUGGGAUAACUUCAGGAAACUGGGGCUAAUACCGGAUAGGAGCUCCUGCCGCAUGGUGGGGGUUGGAAAGUUUCGGCGGUUGGGGAUGGACUCGCGGCUUAUCAGCUUGUUGGUGGGGUAGUGGCUUACCAAGGCUUUGACGGGUAGCCGGCCUGAGAGGGUGACCGGCCACAUUGGGACUGAGAUACGGCCCAGACUCCUACGGGAGGCAGCAGUGGGGAAUAUUGCACAAUGGGCGGGAGCCUGAUGCAGCAACGCCGCGUGCGGGAUGACGGCCUUCGGGUUGUAAACCGCUUUCGCCUGUGACGAAGCGUGAGUGACGGUAAUGGGUAAAGAAGCACCGGCUAACUACGUG
rnacentral:rRNA from 1 species